GAUGAACGCUGGCGGCGUGCCUAAUACAUGCAAGUCGAGCGAAUGGAUUAAGAGCUUGCUCUUAUGAAGUUAGCGGCGGACGGGUGAGUAACACGUGGGUAACCUGCCCAUAAGACUGGGAUAACUCCGGGAAACCGGGGCUAAUACCGGAUAACAUUUUGAACCGCAUGGUUCGAAAUUGAAAGGCGGCUUCGGCUGUCACUUAUGGAUGGACCCGCGUCGCAUUAGCCAGUUGGUGAGGUAACGGCUCACCAAGGCAACGAUGCGUAGCCGACCUGAGAGGGCGACAGGCCACACUGGGCCUGAGACACGGCCCAGACGCCUACGGGAGGCAGCAGUAGGGAAUCUUCGGCAAUGGACGAAAGUCUGACGUAGCAACGGCGCGUGAGUGAUGAAGGCUUUCGGGUCGUAAAACUCUGUUGUUAGGGAAGAACAAGUGCUAGUUGAAUAAGCUGGCACCUUGACGGUACCUAACCAGAAAGCCACGGCUAACUACGUGCCAGCAGCCGCAGUAA
rnacentral:rRNA from 1 species